rfam:Trichobilharzia regenti genome assembly, scaffold: TRE_scaffold0004620
AUCCAGCUGACGAGUCCAAAAUAGGACGAAAUGCGCAUCCUGGAU